UUCUGUUUGGGUGGGGCAUCGGAGGAGCUCGCUGUGGGGGUCCUGAUGACUGCCCCCCGCAUCAUUGCAGUAGAGACGACGCGGUCAUCCAUGGAUUCUGCUGUGGUUGUGGCCGAUAUUCCGAUCGCGUACCCAUUCGCUGUCCGGGUCACUUGCAGUGUCCGUUGAACCCAGAACCUCUGUGUUCGGACUACGACUUCAUGAUGGACUGUUGUUGCUAAAAUACUGCACCGACAGUUUUACAAAAAAAACUAAUUUGGGUUUCAAUUUUGAAGAAAAAAAAAUGAAAUGUAAGAAAUAUAAGGACGACUGAUUUUAAUUGCAGAUGUAAAUUUCCAUAUUAGACCUGCAUCCGAAAAUGACUUAUGUAUUUGGAGACAAUAAAACAUGGCAAAUUUAUCAAUUUUCAUGAA